rnacentral:rRNA from 1 species
CCUACGGGAGGCAGCAGUGGGGAAUAUUGGGCAAUGGACGCAAGUCUGACCCAGCAACGCCGCGUGAAGGAAGAAGGCUUUCGGGUUGUAAACUUCUUUUAAGGGGGAAGAGCAGAACACGGUCUCCCUUGGAUACGCCACGGCUAACUACGAGCCAGCAGCCGGGGUAAUACGUAGGUGGCAAGCGUUGUCCGGAUUUACUGGGUGUAAAGGGCGUGCAGCCGGAGGCACAAGUCAGAUGUGAAAUCCGCAGGCUCAACCUGCGAACUGCAUUUGAAACUGUUUCCCUUGAGUAUCGGAGAGGUCAGCGGAAUUCCUAGUGUAGCGGUGAAAUGCGUAGAUAUUAGGAAGAACACCAGUGGUGAAGGCGGAUGACUGGACGACAACUGACGGUGAGGCGCGAAAGCGUGGGGAGCAAACAGGAUUAGAUACCCCAGUAGUC